ACUCUAAUGGGACUGCCGGUGACAAACCGGAGGAAGGUGGGGAUGACGUCAAGUCCUCAUGGCCCUUAUGGGUAGGGCCUCACACGUAAUACAAUGGCCGGUACAGAGGGCUGCCAACCCGCGAGGGGGAGCAAAUCCCAGAAAGCCGGUCGUAGUCCGGAUUGUUCUCUGCAACUCGAGAGCAUGAAGUCGGAAUCGCUAGUAAUCGCGGAUCAGCAUGUCGCGGUGAAUACGUUCCCGGGUCUUGUACACACCGCCCGUCACACCAUGGGAGUGGGUUUCACCAGAAGUAGUUAGCCUAACCGCAAGGAGGGAGACUACCACGGUGAGAUUCAUGACUGGGGUGAAGUCGUAACAAGGUAAAUCCGAAA
rnacentral:rRNA from 1 species